GCGCCUGUAGCUCAGCUGGAUAGAGCAUCUGCCUUCGAAGCAGAGGGUCGGGGGUUCGAGCCCCUCCAGGCGCGCCA
rnacentral:tRNA from 1 species